UGUUCUUAAAUAUGCUGUGAAGGAAGUAGCCCUCAUAACUGAAAAAUUCAGCAAGAAUUCCUCUGCUGCGACUCUUUUCAACAAAUAUUUACGAGGCAUCUUUCCUGGGCCGGCCCUGAAACUAGACACUGGCGAUGCAAAAUAGGUCAAAGUUUGUGCCUGCAGGAAGUUUACUGUCUACAAGGAGAGAUAGACAAGGAAAUCAACAGCCGCGAGACCACAGGAAAAGUGCUGGCUGAGCCAGCUGCCCUUGCUGCCUCUGUGAUUCAGGAGCAGAAGGGAGCUCUGGGGUCAGGGAAGACUUCUGGGGUGAGGUCAGCAUUGACUGGAAUUGGAAGAAUGUUAACAUUGGCUCCACAAGGCAGUGGGAAUUGCUUGAAGGAAGGCUUGGAGGUGUGAAGCAGCGUGACUGGCGUUUUCCAGGAACCAGGUCCUUGCUGCUGAAGAGAGGCAUUCAGAGGGGAGCCCAGGGGCUCUAGGGCUGAGCUGAAUGUGAUUCGGGUCUGGAAGUCCUAGGGAGCUGCCGAAGGUCUUACUCUGUUGCUCAGGCUGGAGUACAUUGGUGCAAUCAUAGCCCACUGCAGCCUCCUGGGCUCAAGGGACCCUCCCACCUCAACCCCCUGAGUAGCUGGGGCUACAGAGGUGCGCCACCACACCCAGGUAAUUGCAAUUUUUUUUUUAAUAGAGAUAGGGUCUCACUAUAUUGCCCAGGCUAGUCUUGAACUCCUGGCCUCAAGCAAUCCUCCCACCUUGGCCACCCAAAGUGCUGGGCGUGAACCACCACGCCCUGCAUUCCCACUUUUUUGAUGCAUAAGUAAGCAAAUAGGAAUGUAAAUUGUUAUUCCCCCGCUUUCUUUUUCUUUUUUUUAAGACAGAGUCUCGCUCUGUCGCUCAGGCUGGAGUGCAAUGGUGCGAUCUCAGCUCACUGCUACUUCCGCCUCCUGGGUUCAAGCAAUUCUCCUGCCUCAGCCUCCCUAUUAGCUGGGAUUACAGGCAUGUACCACCACGCCUGGCUAAUUUUUGUAUUUUCAGUAGAGACAGGGUUUCACCAUGUUGGCCAGGCUGGUCUUGAACUCCUGACCUCAGGUGAUCCGCCCGCCUCGGCCUCCCAAAGUGUUGGGAUUACAGGCGUGAGACAUUGUGCCUGGCCCAUUUCCUGCUCUUUCUAUACAAAUUGUAGUAUCCAGUAUCCAGUGUUCCACACCUUGCUUUUCCUCAUUUUCCAUUGUACCUUGGAGACAUUCCAUAUAAGUUAAUUGAGUCCUUUCUUGUUCUUUUUUUUUUUUCUUUUACAGCUGCAUGAUAUUCCCUGGACCUUAAGAUAGAUAACCAGUACCCUAUUGAUUAGCAUGUAGGGUUUUUCCAAUCCUUUGUUUUUAUAAACAAUGCUGCAAUUAUAUAGCAUCAUAUGUAUGCUGCUGCCCAUACAUGCAAGUAUAUCUGUAGGAUGUUUCUAGAACAGGAAUUGCUGGAGCAAAGCAGAAAUUUUGGUAGAUAAUGUCACAUUGCCCUUGAUAGGGAUUUUAAUAAUAUGCAUUCCCACUAACCAUUCCCCUGCCUCCCUCAGCUUCAGUAGCAGAGUGGGUUAUGAGGCUUCCAGGUUUUGACAAGCUCAUAGGUGAAAAAUGGCAUGGCAGCAGAAUUUUAAUUUUAAUUUAAUGGCAUGCCAGCAGAAUUUUAAUUUUAAUUUCUUUUGCAAGUGUGGUUGAAUAGAUGUGUAAAAGCCAUUUGUGUUUGCAUUUCAAACUUUUUAUUUUCCUUUCCUUUUUUUUUUUUUUUUUUUUUGAGACAGAGUCUCACUGUGUCACCCAGCUGGAGUGCAGUGACAUGAUCUCGGCUCACUGCAACAUCCCAGGUUCAAGCAAUUCUUCCAGGUUCAAGCACUUCCCAGGUUCAAGCGAUUCUCCUGCCUCAGCCUCCCGAGUAGCUGGGAUUACAGGUGUGUGCCACCACACUCGGCCUAAUUUUUUGUAUUUUUAGUAGAGACGGGGUUUCACCAUACUGGCCAGUCUGGUCUCGAACUCCUGACCUCGUGAUCCACCUGCCUCAGCCUCCUAAAGUGCUGGGAUUACAGGAGUGAGACACCGCAUCAAACUUUUUCAUCUAAAGUGAAUUGUCCUUCACGUCCAGGCUCGGAGCUUCCCACAUAAAUUGCAAAGUCUCUGGAAUCUUUGAGAAAAUAUAUACCUUUAUUUUUAAAAUA